GUGAAUCAUCAAAUUUUUGAACGCAAAUUGCACUCCCUGGUAUUCCGGGGAGUAUGCCUGUUUGAGGGUCGUUAGAAUAAAAAAUCGAUGCGUCGCUCUUUUGUGACGUUCCGGAGUUUGGGUCAUCUUAUAACAACACCCUUUCAGGGUAUUUUUAAGAGGCUUAAAAUUGACCUUUUUUGUGCAUUUUAGACGUACAUAAAUUUUUUUUUAUUCGUCUAUCUUAAUGCCAAAAUCUAUUAGAUGCGACCAUAUCGUGUGGUUCCGUGUCUAUAAAUUUUUCAUGAUUUGACCUCAAAU
rnacentral:misc_RNA from 1 species